rnacentral:rRNA from 1 species
AUCGUAACUCCUACGGGAGGCAGCAGUAGGGAAUUUUCGGCAAUGGGGGAAACCCUGACCGAGCAACGCCGCGUGAGCGAAGAAGGCCUUCGGGUCGUAAAGCUCUGUUGUAAAGGAAGAACGUCGCAUGCAGGAAAUGGUGUGCGAGUGACGGUACUUUACCAGGAAGCCACGGCUAACUACGUGCCAGCAGCCGCGGUAAUACGUAGGUGGCGAGCGUUAUCCGGAAUCAUUGGGCGUAAAGAGGGAGCAGGCGGCCGCAGGGGUCUGUGGUGAAAGACCGAAGCUAAACUUCGGUGAGCCAUGGAAACCGGGCGGCUAGAGUGCGGAAGAGGAUCGUGGAAUUCCAUGUGUAGCGGUGAAAUGCGUAGAUAUAUGGAGGAACACCAGUGGCGAAGGCGACGGUCUGGGCCGCAACUGACGCUCAUUCCCGAAAGCGUGGGGAGCAAAUGGGAUUAGAAACCCUAGUAGUCCUAGAGC